AUUGAACGCUGGCGGCAUGCCUUACACAUGCAAGUCGAACGGCAGCACGGGGGCAACCCUGGUGGCGAGUGGCGAACGGGUGAGUAAUACAUCGGAACGUGCCCAGUAGUGGGGGAUAGCCCGGCGAAAGCCGGAUUAAUACCGCAUACGACCUACGGGUGAAAGCGGGGGAUCGCAAGACCUCGUGCUACCGGAGCGGCCGAUGUCAGAUUAGGUUGUUGGUGGGGUAAAAGCCUACCAAGCCGACGAUCUGUAGCUGGUCUGAGAGGACGACCAGCCACACUGGGACUGAGACACGGCCCAGACUCCUACGGGAGGCAGCAGUGGGGAAUCUUGGACAAUGGGCGCAAGCCUGAUCCAGCCAUGCCGCGUGGAUGAUGAAGGCCUUAGGGUUGU
rnacentral:rRNA from 1 species